ACCAGACUCCUACGGGAGGCAGCAGUGGGGAAUAUUGCACAAUGGGGGAAACCCUGAUGCAGCAACGCCGCGUGAGUGAGGAAGUAUUUCGGUAUGUAAAGCUCUCUCAGCAGGGAAUAGAAAAGAAGGUACCUGAAAAAGAAGCCCCGGCUAACUACGUGCCAGCAGCCGCGGUAAUACGUAGGUGGCGAGCGUUGUCCGGAUUUACUGGGCGUAAAGGGAGCGUAGGCGGAUUUUUAAGUGAGAUGUGAAAUACUCGGGCUCAACUUGAGUGCUGCAUUUCAAACUGGAAGUCUAGAGUGCAGGAGAGGAGAAUGGAAUUCCUAGUGUAGCGGUGAAAUGCGUAGAGAUUAGGAAGAACACCAGUGGCGAAGGCGAUUCUCUGGACUGUAACUGACGCUGAGGCUCGAAAGCGUGGGGAGCAAACAGGAUUAGAUACCCCUGUACA
rnacentral:rRNA from 1 species